rnacentral:lncRNA from 1 species
CAGAAUACGAGCACCUAUAUGAAGAUGACUUUUUGCUUGUGGUUAGAGGAUGUGAAAAUGCACACAGUCUCCCCAUCUUUGGAGGAAGAUGACAAGAACCAUGGAACGAUGGACUCUCUAGCUUCAGGAGGAAGGCCAUAAAGCCUAGCGGAUCGUACUGGCAGCAAACGUUUCCAGAAUUCCCUCCCUGUACCUUGGAGAAGGGGACAACGUUCUUACCUCUAAAGAAACAGGACCAUUACGGAGAAUCUGAACAAACAGGCUUGGCUAAAUUUACCCUCCCCUUAUUGCCAUUAAAUUCGAUUCCUCCUUCUCCACUAUCAUCCCCUUCUUCAACAAACA